GACGAACGCUGGCGGCGUGCCUAAUACAUGCAAGUCGUGCGGACCUUUUAAAAGCUUGCUUUUAAAAGGUUAGCGGCGGACGGGUGAGUAACACGUGGGCAACCUGCCUGUAAGACUGGGAUAACGCCGGGAAACCGGGGCUAAUACCAGAUCGUUUUUUCCUCCGCAUGGAGGAAAAAGGAAAGGCGGCUUCGGCUGCCACUUACAGAUGGGCCCGCGGCGCAUUAGCUAGUUGGCGGGGUAACGGCCCACCAAGGCAACGAUGCGUAGCCGACCUGAGAGGGUGAUCGGACACAUUGGGCCUGGGACACGGCCCAAACUCCUACAGGAGGCAGCAGUAGGGGAUCUUUCGCAAUGGACGAAAGUCUGACGGGGCAACGCCGCGUGAGUGAAGAAGGCCUUCGGGUCGUAAAACUCUGUUGCCGGGGAAGAACAAGUGCCGUUCGAACAGGGCGGCGCCUUGACGGUACCCGGCCAGAAAGCCACGGCUAACUACGUG
rnacentral:rRNA from 1 species